rnacentral:rRNA from 1 species
GUCCAGACUCCUACGGGAGGCAGCAGUGGGGAAUAUUGCACAAUGGGGGAAACCCUGAUGCAGCGACGCCACGUGAGUGAAGAAGUAUUUCGGUAUGUAAAGCUCUAUCAGCAGGGAAGAAAAUGACGGUACCUGACUAAGAAGCCCCGGCUAACUACGUGCCAGCAGCCGCGGUAAUACGUAGGGGGCAAGCGUUAUCCGGAUUUACUGGGUGUAAAGGGAGCGUAGACGGCAUGGCAAGUCAGAUGUGAAAGCCCGGGGCUCAACCCCGGGACUGCAUUUGAAACUGUCAGGCUGGAGUGCAGGAGGGGUAAGUGGAAUUCCUAGUGUAGCGGUGAAAUGCGUAGAUAUUAGGAGGAACACCAGUGGCGAAGGCGGCUUACUGGACUGUAACUGACGUUGAGGCUCGAAAGCGUGGGGAGCAAACAGGAUUAGAUACCCGUGUAC